rnacentral:rRNA from 1 species
GAGGUCCCAAGCGUUGUUCGGAUUUACGUGGGCGUAAAGGGUGCGUAGGCGGUCGGGUAAGUCUGGUGUGAAAUCUUCGAGCUUAACUCGGAAACUGCAUUGGAUACUAUUCGGCUAGAGAGUUGGAGGGGGGAUUGGAAUACUUGGUGUAGCAGUGAAAUGCGUAGAUAUCAAGUGGAACACCAGUGGCGAAGGCGAAUCCCUGGACAACUUCUGACGCUGAGGCACGAAAGCUAGGGGAGCAAACAGGAUUAGAUACCCUGGUAGUCCUAGCUGUAAACGGUGCAUAUUUGCUGUAAAAGGAAUCGACCCCUUUUGUGGCGUAGCAAACGCGUUAAAUAUGCCGCCUGGGAAGUACGGUCGCAAGAUUA